rnacentral:rRNA from 1 species
UACGGAAGGCAGCAGUGGGGAAUAUUGCACAAUGGGCGCAAGCCUGAUGCAGCCAUGCCGCGUGUAUGAAGAAGGCCUUCGGGUUGUAAAGUACUUUCAGUCGUGAGGAAGGUGUUAAGGUUAAUAACCUUAGCAAUUGACGUUAGCGACAGAAGAAGCACCGGCUAACUCCGUGCCAGCAGCCGCGGUAAUACGGAGGGUGCGAGCGUUAAUCGGAAUUACUGGGCGUAAAGGGCACGCAGGCGGUUAAUUAAGUUGGAUGUGAAAUCCCCGGGCUUAACCUGGGAAUGGCAUUCAAGACUGGUUAGCUAGAGUCUUGUAGAGGGGGUAGAAUUCCAUGUGUAGCGGUGAAAUGCGUAGAGAUGUGGAGGAAUACCGGUGGCGAAAGGCGGCCCCCUGGACAAAGACUGACGCUCAUGUGCGAAAGCGUGGGGAGCAAACAGGGAUUAGAUACC